GCCGAGGUGGUGAAACGGUAAACACGCUACGUUCAGAACGUAGUGCUCUUACGGGCUUGCGGGUUCAACUCCCGCCCUCGGCACAA
rnacentral:tRNA from 1 species